GACGUAGGGCGCGAGCGUUGUCCGGAUUUAUUGGGCGUAAAGAGCUCGUAGGCGGCUUGUCGCGUCGACCGUGAAAACUUGGGGCUCAACCCCAAGCCUGCGGUCGAUACGGGCAGGCUAGAGUUCGGUAGGGGAGACUGGAAUUCCUGGUGUAGCGGUGAAAUGCGCAGAUAUCAGGAGGAACACCGGUGGCGAAGGCGGGUCUCUAGUACGGUACUGACGCUGAGACGCGAAAGCGUGGGGAGCGAACAGG
rnacentral:rRNA from 1 species